AAUAAAUGAGCAGACGUGGCAACUAAGCUGAUGCGCAGGUCAGUUAAGUUGCUCACGUGCAACGGCUCAUGACAUGAUUAAGAAGCACGAAUCCUCUUUGCUUUCGGGUCAGGACAUGAUUGGCUUACUGCGGGAAGGGCUCGUGAAAAAGGUGGACGGGGAGAGGAUAAGAAGGAGGUACCCGAAAGGAGGGGCAGAGCCGCGCUAGUAGUCAGAGAUGUAACAAUAAAAAGAUAUGCUCUGAAAGUGUCUUGGGGUGUUCUGUGGAGUCAUUUCUCCAGUGCAGCUGGAGCCGGAGACAUCCGAAGCCUGUUGAGGAGAUGGAGCAGAUCAAGAUGCCGGGAUUUGGGUGCCCGAUCGUGUGGUACGUCCUGUGGGGCCUGAGUUUGGGGAUGACAAUAUGUCAGUCGACACAACGACAAGAACGGAGGUGGACCACCUUGACACCGGCUGAGAACUGUCACAUCAUCUCCUCAGACUAACGAUACCGGAGAUCGGGGUUCAAUGCCUGUUCUACCACCUUGCCACGUGGGUGAUAUGACUACAUGGACGCCUAUCACUUCUUGUUCAACUCGUCUUAGUAUAACAAUGACGGUUGUGAAUGUGACUCUGUCCUUCUGGGAUGGCAUACAACAAAAUCUGACAUAUACUCAAUUACCUAUGCUGGUUCCAUGUACUAACAAGGGUUUAUUUCAGACUGAAGUGGCUUCAUGUAUUGUUACUGCUGCUGUUAAUAGUACCUUACUGCAACAGUAUCCUUAUUUGUUUAUAAUUCGACAACCUUUAUAUAUUCUCAUACCUGUAAAAGCUGCUUUACCUUGGGCCAGUUCGGCUGCAGAGGCGGUAUGGGUACAGCUAGCAGGCACUGUGUGAUCCCGCCCUAAGCGAGAAUUAGUUGAGUUACUUUUUGAUGUUGUUAAUCUUGCUAUAUCCGCUUUCCAGGAAUUUCAAAUUCAGCAAUUGUAUCAAGGUAUGGGCUAUUUAGCUUCUGAAUUAAAAACCUUUAUGCAAAAAGAGACUAGGGCUUGGGAUAUGCAAGUACGUAUUGAUACUGCUUUGCAUAAAGAAUUAAAGUUGUUGGAGGAGACUGUUUUAACAAUAGGGAACGAAUUGGCUUUAUAUGAAUUGCUUUCCUCUGUUGUAUGUCAUUAUCACUAUAAGUCGUGGUUGUGUGUUACCAGUUUACCUGUCAACAGUACUUCUACGUUUCCUGGCCAUUGGGCUAAGGUUCGUGAACAUUUACAAGGUGCCUUUUUAUCUGAUAAUAUCACAUCUGAAUUACA